ensembl:snRNA U6 U6 spliceosomal RNA
GUUCUCACUUUGGCAGCACAUAUAACAAAUUGGAAUGACACCGAGAUUAGCAUGAUCCCUGUGCAAGGAUGGCAUGCAAAUUCAUGAAGCAUUCCAUAUUUUU